GAAAAGCUCAGAUUUAAAAUCUGGCGGCAUUUGGUCGCUCCGAGUUGUAUUCKAAAGAAGUGUUUUCCGCGUUGGACCGUGUAUAAGUCUCUUGGAAUAGAGCGUCAUAGAGGGUGAGAAUCCCGUCUUUGACACGGACUACCAAUGCUUUGUGAUACACUCUCAAAGAGUCGAGUUGUUUGGGAAUGCAGCUCAAAAUGGGUGGUAAAUUCCAUCUAAAGCUAAAUAUUGGCGAGAGACCGAUAGCGAACAAGUACCGUGAGGGAAAGAUGAAAAGCACUUUGGAAAGAGAGUUAAACAGUACGUGAAAUUGCUGAAAGGGAAACGCUUGAAGUCAGUCGCGUUAGCUAGAACUCAACCAGGCUUGCUUGGCGUAUUUUCUAGUUAACGGGCCAGCAUCAGUUUUGACCGCAGGAAAAGGGCCAGGGAAAUGUGGCAUCUUCGGAUGUGUUAUAGUCUCUGGUCGUAUACUGUGAUUGGGACUGAGGACCGCAGCACGCGCAAGCUGUGCUUAGGAUGCUGGCGUAAUGGCUUUAAACGACCCGUCUUGAAACACGGACCAAGGAGUCUAACAAACCUGCGAGUAUUUGGGUGGCAAACCCGAGUGCGCAAUGAAAGUGAAAGUUGGGAUCCCUGUCGUGGGGAGCACCGACGCCCGGACCAGACCUUCUGUGACGGAUCUGCGGUAGAGCAUGUUUGUUGGGACCCGAAAGAUGGUGAACUAUGCCUGAAUAGGGUGAAGCCAGAGGAAACUCUGGUGGAGGCUCGUANCGAUUCUGACGUGCAAAUCGAUCGUCAAAUUUGGGUAUAGGGGCGAAGACUAAUCGAACCAUCUAG
rnacentral:rRNA from 1 species